GGGAACACCAGUUGUAACUUUCGAAAAAUCAAUUUUUUUUUUUGUGCAUUUUCUUAAAGUACACAUAUUUAGAAAUGUGUCUGUAAAUUUCAAAGUUGAUCCGGUGAAAAAUAAAUGAGAUAUACAGAACACUGCAUCGGCGCGUCCCGUGGCUUCAUACAAGGUGGCCAGCCAUAACUGACCCUAACGACAGAUGGCCUUUUCCUAUGAUUUAGAAACGGCAACCACUGCGGAAGAGUUAUUAUAUGGUCCAAGAAUCGAUGACUCUUUGUAACUUGGAAACAAAAUUUCUUCUGAACAAAAAAAAACGAAGUAUACUUGCAGAAUGCUGGUCACCGCAAUUCGCCUUUUUUCUUAAGACGCCACUUCAAUGGCUCAUAUCUCCAAAAGUUUUUGUUAAAAAAAUUUUUUUUUUCUUUUAAAUUACAGCUUUUUACAUGUACUUUUAACUAAUAAAUAGUAUUCUUUAAAAA